CCUACGGGAGGCAGCAGUGGGGAAUAUUGCACAAUGGGGGAAACCCUGAUGCAGCGACGCCGCGUGAGUGAAGAAGUAUUUCGGUAUUUAAAGCUCUAUCAGCAGGGAAGAAAAUGACGGUACCUGAUUACGACGCCCCGGCUACCUACGUGCCAGCAGCCGCGGUAAUACGGAGGGGGCAAGCGUUAUCCGGAUUUACUGGGUGUAAAGGGAGCGUAGACGGCAGCACAAGUCAGGCGUGAAAUGCCGGGGCUUAACCCCGGAACUGCUUUGGAAACUGUGCAGCUGGAGUGCAGGAGAGGUAAGUGGAAUUCCUAGUGUAGCGGUGAAAUGCGUAGAUAUUAGGAGGAACACCAGUGGCGAAGGCGGCUUACUGGACUGUAACUGACGUUGAGGCUCGAAAGCGUGGGGAGCAAACAGGAUUAGAUACCCCUGUAGUC
rnacentral:rRNA from 1 species